UUAGCAUCGAUGAUGAUACUUUUAACUUCGUUAUCCUUGCACUUUGAUUCAUAAUGAAGAGAACCAUGGGGAAAGUAAUUCUGAGAUGCUC